GGUUAAAAUUGAAAAAAGUGACGUUAAAAAAAAAAAAAAAAUUUGAUUGUUUAUGUACUGUUUAAUAUGAAUUUGUCAAAUAUUAAAUAAGUGUCUAACAUUUUUACUAAUAAAACUUUAUUGCGUAUGUUCACAACUUUCGUGGGCUGUGAUGAUCAUCCGCAUAAUUUAUUGUAUAACCCAUACCAUUAAUCAUAAACCAUAAACCAUUUGUUUGUUUAUAAUUUGUUGUAUGUUGUAGAUACCUAUAUACAGACCAUUGGAAGUGUAACAGGAGUGAUCAAACGGGGGGGAGGGGAGUAAGAGGGAUAUAUCCUCUACAUUACCUAAUUUGUCUUAAAUAUUUAUAAUAAUAUACACGGUAAUUUUUUAAGCAUACUUAUUGUUCAGUGUUCAUGCCAUUUUUGUGGUUAAAUUAUGCCGAAGUUCAAAUUCUGGUAUUUGAAAUUUUUAAGUGUAGUGAAAAACAAUAUUUUAGAAUACUUCGAUUUUUGACAAUACUUAAGAAGUAUCCUGUGACAGUAUUAAAUUUGGGUUUUUCAAAUGAAAACCUACAUGGUUUAAUAUAAAUUGUUAAUCAGAUAAUUUUUCUGAAAAUGUUGACGUAUUAUAAUACAAAUUUGAACAAAAAUGCCUGAGUUUUUCUACUUUAAAUACUAAAGUAUAAUUACUACGCGAUUUAAUAUAAGAAAUUAUCUAUAUACAUGAAACAGUUGAUAUCCAAUAUCUAUAAAAAGAUAUUAUCCUUAGUAUUAAAAACAGAAUAACUCAUAAA